AACAUUCUGGUUCAUUCGCUAAUGUGUUUAUAAAAUUUGAACCGAUAAUAUAAAAUAGGUGAUAUUCCUCUAUCAUUGUUGUGCAGUACCUAAUUAGGGAAGCCUGAUCUGAUAUGAAAUUCGCCACCUGACCUUUCGGUUCAGGUAUGGCACAUGGCGGUGAUUUGGUUUGUUA
rnacentral:other from 1 species